UACGUAGGGGCGAGCGUUGUCCGGAAUGAUUGGGCGUAAAGGGCGCGUAGGCGGCUUGUUAAGUCUGGAGUGGAAGUCCUCUUUUCAAGGGAGGAAUUGCUUUGGAAACUGGCGGGCUUGAGUGCAGGAGAGGUUAUCGGAAUUCCCGGUGUAGCGGUGAAAUGCGUAGAGAUCGGGAGGAACACCAGUGGCGAAGGCGGGUAACUGGACUGCAACUGACGCUGAGGCGCGAAAGUGUGGGGAGCAAACAGGAUUAGAUACCCGCGUAGUCCCUGAG
rnacentral:rRNA from 1 species